AUGGAUAAAGAGCCACCCAAACCCAGAGAGUUCAGGUUUGAUUUGGCUUGGCUUAAGAAUGAGGAUUUCCUGCCCCUUGUAGAGAAAAUUUGGACCAAAGAUGUUAAAGCUGAGGAUCCUAUUGAUAUUCUAAAUAUCAAAUUGAAAAGGUUCAAAACCUUUUUCAAAGGAUGGGGAUCACACAAGUAUGGUCAUGAAAGAAAAAGGAAAGAGGAACUCAGGGUGGAACUGUCCAUGCUGGAGGAGCUCGAGGAAGAAGGUUCGCUGUCUCCUGAAAUGUAUAAUAGGAAAGUAGAUAUUAACUUCGAGUUGCAUGAGAUUCUGAUCAACGAAGAGAUUUUCUGGCUCCAACAAUCCCAUGAGCGAUGGCUGCUCAAAGGGGACUUGAAUACAGAUUAUUUUCAUAAGAUUGCAAACGGGCGCAAGAGGAAAAACACCAUUCACUCUCUUAAUAGCGGUGAUGUGGAGAUAGAGGGCACAGAUGACUUAAUUUCACAUGCUACAGAUUUCUAUAAGAAUCUGUUCGGCCCAGCCCCAGGCAACAUUUUUCAUAUGGAUCCUGAGUCGUGGGGGGAAGCGGAGAAAUUAAAUAAACAGGAUAAUGAGGACCCGACUAGGGUUUUCUCGGAGGAGGAGGUAAAAGAUGCUUUGUUUGCA
rnacentral:rRNA from 1 species